CGCGUAGGGCGCAAGCGUUGUCCGGAAUUAUUGGGCGUAAAGAGCUCGUAGGUGGUCUGUUGCGUCCGCUGUGAAAACUCGGGGCUUAACCCCGAGCCUGCAGUGGAUACGGGCAGACUAGAGGUAGGUAGGGGAGAAUGGAAUUCCUGGUGUAGCGGUGAAAUGCGCAGAUAUCAGGAGGAACACCGGUGGCGAAGGCGGUUCUCUGGGCCUUACCUGACACUGAGGAGCGAAAGCGUGGGGAGCGAACAGG
rnacentral:rRNA from 1 species